UGAUUGAGAGAGUGCUGCGGCUGAGUACCGGAGACAGAGCAGCGCGCCUGUACGUCGUGACAACUUGUUACCAGUUGUAGGUAGGCUAUUUAGAUUGGUCAUUAUGGAGACACCUUUUUCCAUAAAACAUAUUGACGCGCUAGUACUGACAUCACCCUCACCAACUGCUGGUCUUCACCUGUUCCCGGAGCCACCUGAAUCCAUCUGAUCCGUUUUCAGUUGGUCACAGUUAGUUUGAGACCCGCCUAUUCCAAUGAAUUAUAAUCUCUUAUUGGUUUUUCCCUGUGACAGUCAUUCCUCCUCGCCGCCUGCCUGUUGAGUGUGAUGCACUGGCGUGUCUAAUCUCUCCGCUGUAGUUCCCCAUAAUGGCGCGUCUCGAUCUGGAGCAGCUUUCGUCUAACUAAUUCCUCAUUGAAGUGAAUGGCAGCGGCUCAUCAUCCAUGUCCUGAACUCGGAAGGGACUGGGAGGGUAGUUUUGCGACGCAACAAGCGUUUGUGGAGUAGGCUACAUCCAUCGAAACGGAAUAGGUUGUUUUGAAAUUCUUGGCAGACUGUUGCGCCAGGAAAAAAUCUCAGUAGCGAUGUCCCUGCUGUGCGUCAGAGUGAAGAAAGCCAAGCUGCAUGGGCCUCCAGAUAAGUUCAAUGCCUACGUGACACUGAAGGUGCAGAAUGUCAAAAGCACGACCAUCACAGUCGGAG